GGGGGGGGGGGGGGGGGGGGGGGGGGGGGGGGGGGGGGGGGGGGGGGGGGGGGGGGGGGGGGGGGGGGCCCCAAAUCCAUCGUCCUGUGACCCCAAAUCCAUCCCCAAAUCCAUUGUCCAGUGACCCCAAAUCCAUCCCCAAAUCCAUUGUCCGGUGACCCCAAAUCCAUUGUCCAGUGACCCGAAUUCCAUUCUCCAGUGAGGGACAGAGAGCAUCCGGCCCUGGUUCUGGUUCUGGUUCUGGUUCUGGUUCUGGUUCUGGUUCUGGUUCUGGUUCUGGUUCUGGUUCUGGUUCUGAGGGAGCUGGACUCCCUCAUCCAGUGACCUGGAAAUCUGGGAAUGUUCUGGAAUUGGAAUGGGAAUAGUGAAUGGGGAUGGGAAUGGGGAAUGGGAAUAAUGGGAAUGGGGAAUGGGAAUAAUGGGAAUGGGAAAUGGGGAUGGGGAAUGGGAAUAAUGGGAAUAAUGGGAAUAAUGGGAAUGAUAAUAGGAUGGGAACGCUCUGGGAAUGAGAUGGGAACGCUCUGGGAAGAGCAGGGCCCGGGACAGGAAUUCCAGAGCUCCAGGAGGAUCCCAGCGAGGAACUGGGAGCUCAGACUGGGAUUCCAGGGGGUUGAGCUACGGGUGGACGCCGCGAUCCCUCCUCCCCUUCCCGCGAUCCCUGCGGAGCCCCUGGACAUUCCCUGCCGAGUUCCCCUCCUCAACCCCUCCCUGCUCAUCCUUGGCCCCAUCCCUAUCCCUAUCCCCAUCCCCAUUCCCAUUAUUCUCAUUCCCAUUCCGAUCCCAUCCCAUUCCCAUUCUUCCCAUUCUUCCCAUUCUUCCCAUUCUUCCCAUUCCUAUUCUUCCCAUUAUUCCCAUUAUUCCUAUUAUUCCCAUUUUUCCCAUUAUUCCCAUUUUCCCCAUUAUUCCCAUUUUCCCCAUUAUUCCCAUUCUCAUUCCCAUUCCCAUUAUUCCCAUCCUCAUCCAUGCCCGCGGGAUCCCUCCACCAAAAUAAACCCCAAACUCUCUGGAUUCCUUCUUCCCAAAUUUUUGAUUCCUUUUUCCAGCUGCUUGAUCCUUUUUUUUU
rnacentral:lncRNA from 12 species